rnacentral:misc_RNA from 1 species
GAUGAAGAACGUAGCGAAAUGCGAUAAGUAAUGUGAAUUGCAGAAUUCAGUGAAUCAUCGAAUCUUUGAACGCACAUUGCGCCCCUCGGCAUUCCGGGGGGCACACCUGUCCGAGCGCCGUCGCAACACUGAGGCUCAGCCUUGCGUUGGCGGCUCCGGCUUUUCUGACCAGAGAAGCCGGCCGCCCAAACUUCGACGGCGCCGCACCGCGGCCGACGAUGCGCAAAAGCAGACGUCUGGCGAGCGGGGAGUCGGCGGCCUUGUACCAACAAGAACAGCUUGGCCUCGGAUCAGGUGGGGAUACCCGCUGAACUUAAGCAUAUCAAUAAGCGGAGGA